rnacentral:rRNA from 1 species
CAGCAGCCGCGGUAAUACGUAGGGAGCGAGCGUUGUCCGGAAUCAUUGGGCGUAAAGAGCUCGUAGGCGGCUUGAUAAGUCGGGUGUUAAACCUCCAGGCUCAACCUGGAGCCGCCAUCCGAUACUGUCAUGGCUAGAGUCCGGUAGGGGCCCACGGAAUUCCUGGUGUAGCGGUGAAAUGCGCAGAUAUCAGGAGGAACACCGGUGGCGAAGGCGGUGGGCUGGGCCGGCACUGACGCUGAGGAGCGAAAGCGUGGGGAGCGAACAGGAUUAGAUACCCCAGUAGUCCCUGUCUCUUAUU